AAAAAGAUAAGCUAAAUACCAAGCUUAUGGGCUCAUACCCCGUCUAUGAAGACACUUCUCUUUUUA
rnacentral:tRNA from 1 species